rnacentral:rRNA from 1 species
UACGUAGGGUGCAAGCGUUGUCCGGAAUUAUUGGGCGUAAAGAGCUCGUAGGCGGUCUGUCGCGUCUGCUGUGAAAGCUCGGGGCUUAACCCCGGGCCUGCAGUGGGUACGGGCAGACUAGAGUGCGGUAGGGGAGACUGGAAUUCCUGGUGUAGCGGUGAAAUGCGCAGAUAUCAGGAGGAACACCGGUGGCGAAGGCGGGUCUCUGGGCCGAUACUGACGCUGAGGAGCGAAAGCGUGGGGAGCAAACAGG